AUCUUCCGCAAUGGGCGAAAGCCUGACGGAGCAACGCCGCGUGAGUGAUGAAGGGUUUCGGCUCGUAAAACUCUGUUAUUAGGGAAGAACAAAUGUUUAAGUAACUGUGCACAUCUUGACGGUACCUAAUCAGAAAGCCACGGCUAACUACGUGCCAGCAGCCGCGGUAAUACGUAGGUGGCAAGCGUUAUCCGGAAUUAUUGGGCGUACAGCGCGGGUAGGCGGUUGCUUAAGGCUGCUGUGAAAGCCCACGGCUCAACCGUGGAGGGUCAUUGGAAACUGGGAAACUUGAGUGCAGAAGAGGAAAGUGGAAUUCCAUGUGUAGCGGUGAAAUGCGCAGAGAUAUGGAGGAACACCAGUGGCGAAGGCGACUUUCUGGUCUGUAACUGACGCUGAUGUGCGAAGGCGUGGGGAUCAAACA
rnacentral:rRNA from 1 species